rnacentral:lncRNA from 1 species
CAUGAUUUUAGUUAUAAAAUCAUAUUCUUACUGAAUUCAUUCAACAUGAAGUUCUUACAAGUUGUACUACUCGCUCUAGCGGCGCUCGUGGCUUCUGUGGCUGCAGGGCCCCGUCCAAUCCCGAAUAUUCAGAAUCCUGUCGUGGUCGGGCGCAUCGCUGACCCGAAUACUGUGAUAGUUCCCUCCAACUGCCCUCCUGGUCAGGAGAUGAGUGUAGAUGGAGUUUGCCGUGAACCCUGGUAUGCUCCAGGAGAUGGUAAAAAACCUGCAAAUUAAUCAUAAAGUAAAUAACCACUGGUUAUAAGUCUUUGAAAUAAAUAAAUGAAUAAAACUGUG